AACGCUAGCUACAGGCUUAACACAUGCAAGUCGAGGGGAAACGACAUCGAAAGCUUGCUUUUGAUGGGCGUCGACCGGCGCACGGGUGAGUAACGCGUAUCCAACCUGCCCACCACUUGGGGAUAACCUUGCGAAAGUAAGACUAAUACCCAAUGAUAUCUCUAGAAGACAUCUGAAAGAGAUUAAAGAUUUAUCGGUGAUGGAUGGGGAUGCGUCUGAUUAGCUUGUUGGCGGGGUAACGGCCCACCAAGGCGACGAUCAGUAGGGGUUCUGAGAGGAAGGUCCCCCACAUUGGAACUGAGACACGGUCCAAACUCCUACGGGAGGCAGCAGUGAGGAAUAUUGGUCAAUGGGCGAGAGCCUGAACCAGCCAAGUAGCGUGCAGGAUGACGGCCCUAUGGGUUGUAAACUGCUUUUAUAAGGGAAUAAAGUGAGUCUCGUGAGACUUUUUGCAUGUACCUUAUGAAUAAGGACCGGCUAAUUCCGUGCCAGCAGCCGCGGUAAUACGGAAGGUCCGGGCGUUAUCCGGAUUUAUUGGGUUUAAAGGGAGCGUAGGCCGGAGAUUAAGCGUGUUGUGAAAUGUAGACGCUCAACGUCUGCACUGCAGCGCGAACUGGUUUCCUUGAGUACGCACAAAGUGGGCGGAAUUCGUGGUGUAGCGGCGAAAUGCUUAGAUAUCACGAAGAACUCCGAUUG
rnacentral:rRNA from 1 species